rnacentral:rRNA from 1 species
AGUGAACGCUGGCGGUAGGCCUAACACAUGCAAGUCGAACGGCAGCACAGUAAGAGCUUGCUCUUACGGGUGGCGAGUGGCGGACGAGUGAGGAAUACAUCGGAAUCUACUUUUUCGUGGGGGAUAACGUAGGGAAACUUACGCUAAUACCGCAUACGACCUACGGGUGAAAGCAGGGGAUCUUCGGACCUUGCGCGAUUGAAUGAGCCGAUGUCGGAGUAGCUAGUUGGCGGGGUAAAGGCCCACCAAGGCGACGAUCCGUAGCUGGUCUGAGAGGAUGAUCGGCCACACUAGAACUGAGACACGGUCCAGACUCCUACGGGAGGCAGCAGUGGGGAAUAUUGGACAAUGGGCGCAAGCCUGAUCCAGCCAUACCGCGUGGGUGAAGAAGGCCUUCGGGUUGUAAAGCCCUUUUGUUGGGAAAGAAAAGCAGCAGGUUAAUACCCCGCUGUUCUGACGGUACCCAAAGAAUAAGCACCGGCUAACUUCGUG